AGUAUAAUUGCUGGAUUGUAUGGUUAGGCUAUGUUUAGCUUUGUAAGAAACUUCCAAACUUCCCUCCAGAGUGCCUAUACCAUUUUGCAUUCCUAUCAGUGAU
rnacentral:pre_miRNA from 1 species